UUUUUGGAGAGUUUGAUCCUGGCUCAGGAUUAACGCUGGCGGUGUGUAUAAUACAUGCAAGUCGUGCGUCCCGCACUUUGCUUUCAAGCAAGUAUGAAAGUAGCUUGAAGGUUGGGUGUGGGACGCGGCAAACGGGUGAGUAACGCGUUGGAAUAUGCCUCGCACUCAGGGAUAGCCCACCGAAAGGUGGAUUAAUACCGGAUGGUCCCGCAAGGGUAAAGCUUUUGCGGUGCGAGAGUAGCCUGCGCAGUAUCAGCUAGUUGGNNACUCCUACGGGAGGCAGCAGUAGAGAAUUUUUCGCAAUGGGGGAAACCCUGACGGAGCAACACCGCGUGAUCGAUGAAGGUCUUCGGAUUGUAAAGAUCUUUUCUGAGGGACUAAUUCUGAACGUACCUUAGGAAUAAGCACCGGCUAAUUUCGUGCCAGCAGCCGCGGUAAUACGAAAGGUGCAAGCGUUAUCCGGAAUUAU
rnacentral:rRNA from 1 species